CGUUGGGUUUGGCGGGAAGUAUGGCGUGCAGAAGGACCGUCAAGACAAGUCUGCCCUGGGUUGGUCCCACAAGGAAGAAGUCAAGCCCCAUGAAUCUCAAACAGGUCUGGAAGCUGUAAGUCAACUUUGGUUCAUCUCAAUUAAUCUCUCAUGGCUUUCUGAAGAACUUCAUGUUCUUCCAUUGCAGACCAUGCCGUUGGGUUUGGUGGGAAGUAUGGCGUGCAGAAGGACCGUCAAGACAAGUCUGCCCUGGGAUGGGCCCACAAGGAAGAAGUCAAGCCCCAUGAAUCUCAAACAGACCAUUCUCAAGGCUUUGGAGGCCGUUAUGGGGUGCAGAAAGACAGAGUGGACAAGAGCGCUGCUGGUUUUGGUGACAUGGAAGCUCCCC
ensembl:lncRNA